CAUAUAAUUUCUUUACAUUUUAUAUAAAAAUAGAAUGCUUUUAUCCAAUCUGCUCGCAUACCUUGCCUUGUGAGGCAAAUGUACUUGCACAAGAGCUCUUGUUAGGCUAUUUAUUGAACCCCUCGUAUUGACUGGUAAAACAAGUGGAAAAAGUGCUUGAGCGUUUGAUAUGCGCUCAGGACGAUAGCGAGAGCUGGGCUUGUUACUCCUGAUUGGUUUUACAAAACUCUCGAAGUCAAAUCCUUGAAACACUUUGGCUGAGAGGCUCUGUUAGGAGGGGCGGCGGGUAACUUUUGUUCUGGUUGACUCUUGCAGGUCACGCAAACACCACCACCCGCCCAACAGCCACUCGGGCCAAGUAACUCUUCCCCUGUAAGCUGUACUCCUCCCUCUCGCAAUCCCAUCUUCCCCCCGUAAUCCUUGGCAGUGACCAGCUCUGCCCCCCCACCCUCAAGUUCAACUUCAACUGCCUGUGACAUCAUGUCUCGUUGCUGUGGGCAACCAGACAGUUGGGACGUGACUUCUCAGUUUAGGGGCCGUGCUUCAACUUUGCCUCUCUUUUCUCCAUUCCUGUCUCGCAUUUCCGCAGUUCUUUUCUCGUGUUUCUGACUGGGAAUGGCACGGGGCUGAGAGCGCUUCCCCCGUACGGAUAUACAGGGUUCAAACACUUAAAGAUACACUUAUAAAAUGUUU